GGUGAGAUGUCCGAGUGGUUGAAGGAGCACGCCUGGAAAGCGUGUAUAUGGGAAACUGUAUCGGGGUUCGAAUCCCCUCUCACCGCCA
rnacentral:tRNA from 1 species